CACACGUGCUACAAUGGUGGUGACAGUGGGCAGCGAGACCGCAAGGUCGAGCUAAUCUCCAAAAACCAUCUCAGUUCGGAUUGUCCUCUGCAACUCGAGGGCAUGAAGUUGGAAUCGCUAGUAAUCGCGGAUCAGCCACGCCGCGGUGAAUACGUUCCUGAGCCUUGUACACACCGCCCGUCAAGUCAUGGAAGCUGGUAGUGCCCGAAGUCGCCACGAUUCAGUGGUGCCCACGGCAAGAUCGGUGACUGGGACUAAGUCGUAACAAGGUAGCCGUAGGAGAACCUGCGGCUGGAUCACC
rnacentral:rRNA from 1 species